GAAAUGCGAUAAGUAAUGUGAAUUGCAGAAUUCAGUGAAUCAUCGAAUCUUUGAACGCACCUUGCGCUCCUUGGUAUUCCUUGGAGCAUGCCUGUUUGAGUAUCAUGAAAUCUUCAAAGUAAAUCUUUUGUUAACUCAAUUGGUUUCUACUUUGGUAUUGGAGGUCUUUGCAGCUUCACACCUGCUCCUCUUUGUUCAUUAGCUGGAUCUCAGUGUUAUGCUUGGUUCCACUCGGCGUGAUAAGUUAUCUAUCGCUGAGGACACUGUAAAUGGUGGCCAAGGUAAAUGCAGACGAACCGCUUCUAAUAGUCCAUUGACUUGGACAAUACUUUUAUGAUCUGAUCUCAAAUCAGGUAGGACUACCCGCUGAACUUAAGC
rnacentral:misc_RNA from 1 species